UACGUAGGGGGCAAGCGUUAUCCGGAUUUACUGGGUGUAAAGGGAGCGUAGACGGCAUGGCAAGUCGGAUGUGAAAGCCCGGGGCUCAACCCCGGGACUGCAUUUGAAACUGUCAGGCUGGAGUGCAGGAGAGGUAAGCGGAAUUCCUAGUGUAGCGGUGAAAUGCGUAGAUAUUAGGAGGAACACCAGUGGCGAAGGCGGCUUACUGGACUGUAACUGACGUUGAGGCUCGAAAGCGUGGGGAGCAAACAGG
rnacentral:rRNA from 1 species